rnacentral:rRNA from 1 species
UACGUAGGGUGCGAGCGUUGUCCGGAAUUACUGGGCGUAAAGAGCUCGUAGGUGGUUUGUCGCGUUUGUUCGUGAAAACCGGGGGCUUAACCCUCGGCGUGCGGGCGAUACGGGCAGACGUUGAGUACUGCAGGGGAGACUGGAAUUCCUGGUGUAGCGGUGGAAUGCGCAGAUAUCAGGAGGAACACCGAUGGCGAAGGCAGGUCUCUGGGCCACUACUGACGCUGAGAAGCGAAAGCAUGGGGAGCGAACAGG